UACGUAGGGGGCUAGCGUUGUCCGGAUUUAUUGGGCGUAAAGAGCUCGUAGGCGGUUUGUUGCGUCGGCUGUGAAAUCCCGAGGCUCAACCUCGGGUCUGCAGUCGAUACGAGCAAACUAGAGUGUUGCAGGGGAGACUGGAAUUCCUGGUGUAGCGGUGAAGUGCGCAGAUAUCAGGAGGAACACCGGUGGCGAAGGCGGGUCUCUGGGCAACAACUGACGCUGAGGAGCGAAAGCGUGGGGAGCGAACAGG
rnacentral:rRNA from 1 species